ensembl:lncRNA
GUUAGGGUUAGACUGGGUUAGACUGUGGUGUUAGGGUUAGACUGGGUUAGACUGUGGAGUUAGGGUUAGACUGGGUUAGACUGUGGUGGUAGGGUUAGACUGGGUUAGACUGUGGAGUUAGGGUUAGACUGGGUUAGACUAUGGAGUUAGGGUUAGACUGGGUUAGACUAUGGUGUUAGGGUUAGACUGGGUUAGGCUUAGACUGGGUUAGACUGUGGAGUUAGGGUUAGACUGUGGAGUUAGGGUUAGACUGGGUUAGACUGUGGAGUUAGGGUUAGACUGGGUUAGACUAUGGAGUUAGGGUUAGACUGGGUUAGACUGUGGUGUUAGGGUUAGACUGGG